rnacentral:rRNA from 1 species
UACAGAGGUCCCAAGCGUUGUUCGGAUUCACUGGGCGUAAAGGGUGCGUAGGCGGUUGGGUAAGUCUGACGUGAAAUCUCCGGGCCUAACCCGGAAACUGCGUUGGAUACUAUCCGGCUAGAGGAAUGGAGGGGAGACUGGAAUACUUGGUGUAGCAGUGAAAUGCGUAGAUAUCAAGUGGAACACCAGUGGCGAAGGCGAGUCUCUGGACAACACCUGACACUGAGGCACGAAAGCUAGGGGAGCAAACAGG